rnacentral:rRNA from 1 species
GAUGAACGCUGGCGGCGUGCCUAAUACAUGCAAGUCGAGCGAACAGACGAGGAGCUUGCUCCUCUGACGUUAGCGGCGGACGGGUGAGUAACACGUGGAUAACCUACCUAUAAGACUGGGAUAACUUCGGGAAACCGGAGCUAAUACCGGAUAAUAUAUUGAACCGCAUGGCUCAAUAGUGAAAUACGGUUUUGCUGUUACUUAUAGAUGGAUCCGCGCCGCAUUAGCUAGUUGGUAAGGUAACAGCUUACCAAGGCAACGAUGCGUAGCCGACCUGAGAGGGUGAUCGGCCACACUGGAACUGAGACACGGUCCAGACUCCUACGGGAGGCAGCAGUAGGGAAUCUUCCGCAAUGGGCGAAAGCCUGACGGAGCAACGCCGCGUGAGUGAUGAAGGUCUUCGGAUCGUAAAACUCUGUUAUUAGGGAAGAACAAAUGUGUAAGUAACUAUGCACGUCUUGACGGUACCUAAUCAGAAAGCCACGGCUAACUACGUG